AUCUGUGAUCAUACCACCCUGAAUGUACCUGAUCUCAGCUGAUCUCAGAAGUCGAUCAGGAUCCAGCCUGGCUAGUUACUAACUGAGAAAAUGUCAUAUGGGAAACUACUAUUUCAUAAGAUU
rnacentral:rRNA from 1 species